GACGAACGCUGGCGGCGUGCCUAAUACAUGCAAGUAGAACGCUGAAGGAGGAGCUUGCUUCUCUGGAUGAGUUGCGAACGGGUGAGUAACGCGUAGGUAACCUGCCUGGUAGCGGGGGAUAACUAUUGGAAACGAUAGCUAAUACCGCAUAAUAGUAGAUGUUGCAUGACAUUUGCUUAAAAGGUGCAAUUGCAUCACUACCAGAUGGACCUGCGUUGUAUUAGCUAGUUGGUGAGGUAACGGCUCACCAAGGCAACGAUACAUAGCCGACCUGAGAGGGGGAUCGGCCACACUGGGACUGAGACACGGCCCAGACUCCUACGGGAGGCAGCAGUAGGGAAUCUUCGGCAAUGGACGGAAGUCUGACCGAGCAACGCCGCGUGAGUGAAGAAGGUUUUCGGAUCGUAAAGCUCUGUUGUAAGAGAAGAACGAGUGUGAGAGUGGAAAGUUCACACUGUGACGGUAUCUGACCAGAAAGGGACGGCUAACUACGUG
rnacentral:rRNA from 1 species